GCCAGCAUGGUGCAGUGGUUAAAAUGCUGCAUUUUGAUUUUGGAAACCAGGGUUUGAAUCCCUGAUGGAA